UGGCUCAGUUUCCUGGGGGGUGGGCCCAGCCUACUCUACCUCCCCUCAGCUGAGCCUAUAGUAGAGGGGCCAGGCAUCCUCCCCCAUGGGAGAGGCAUUUGAGUAAGGAGCCUUGCCUCUGGUGUCCUAGCUGCACAUUU
rfam:Callithrix jacchus chromosome 7, whole genome shotgun sequence